CGGUGCUGGUCUGCGACCCCGGCGGCGGUGGCCGGGGGCAGACCCUGACUUGCUGGACCUUGGUUUGUGUGUCUGCGACGUGAGUGGAUUCAACAGAUCGUCUCCUGAGGUCACCCCUGGUUUUAGCUUUCGGGUCGUUUGUGACUGCCGAGGCCAAGGGGAAGGGAGGCCGAUGGGGGAGAAGGGACACGAGACAGGAGGAGAGGGUGAGUGAGGAGGGGAUCCCGGGGCGGGGGUGGGGGGGUGCAGCGUGGCGUGUGCCCCCCACCCCCACCACCACCUCCUGGACGUGCUUGUUAAAUGACGGCGCCACAGCUGAGCAGGGAGCCCUCAGCCACGCAUCUCAAGACAGAGGAGUCUCGGCAUUUAUUUCAAAGACGGAGCCAGCACUUUCUAAGGAUGGCAGUGACCUAAUCCAUCCUCAUGACACUGUGACAUCAGUGCUGAGAAGACCCCAGUCUCCCUGGCACAUGCCCCCUGCGGCUUAGAGAGGUCAGGUCUCUGUCCAGCGGGAAGGCAGAAACGCCAAGGUUCAAUCCGACGUCUGCUUUAUUGUGAAUCCCGUGCUUUUCGCCCCUGGCCGCCGGCUGCGACCCGACACCCUUACGGAGGAGGAGGGCUCCUUUUGCCCUCGGGCUCAGCAGCAUGGUCCACUUCUCCGCCUCCCCUUCAUCCUGGUAUUUUUUAUUCUCCAUCCUUUGGAACCAGCACCGCGGUCAUAAAGGAAAGCAGAAGGGAGGGCGGGCGUUGAGAAGCCUCCCUCCUGCCCGCCUGGAACCACACUCCCCAGCCCUGCUUCCUGGUGCCUCUGGGCUCCUUUCUCUUUGCAAAAACAGGAACUUAGAAAUGCGUGUUCUUGUUUCCUACUUUCUUACCCCAAAGUUGGCACACCAAAUUAGACCAUACUUUGCACUUACUCUGUCAUUACUCAGCGAUGUGUCCGGAAAAUACUGUGAUUUUAGUUCCCAGGGAGCUUCCUCGUUCCUUCUCACAGGGACAGGCGGUUCCACCGGGUUGGGUAAGUCAUCGGUUUACUUAGCCAGGUCCUCGGAUCCGGCCACUAGGCGGUUUCCAUGUGUUUCAGAACCACAGACAACGCCUUCUGGGAGUCACCUUGCAGAGGUCCGUGCCCACCCGUCAGCUGUAGCCCCAGGAGCGGGUCACUGAGGCAGGGGAAAGUCCAUCUGACACCUUGCUGGCCGUGACGCUCGUAUGGGCAGUUGAGUAGACCCAUCGAGAAAGGAGAACAGUGUUGGCCUCCCUGGCUCCCGGGCAACAGAGUGUUUUGUCGAACUUUUGUCUUUUUUCCAGUCUGAUCGAGGAAAACUUGUAUCCUUGUGUAGUUUUACUGCUCGUGUCUCUGACUGUGACGCUUGCGUGUCUUUUGGACCGCAUGUAUUUCUUAUUCUGUGAACCGCCCAUGACCUCGGCCCAUUUUUCUGUCGGUCCUGUGGUCUUUCUUGCUUUCAUCUCUGAGAGCUCUUCAUAUAUUUUGGAGAAAAACACUUUUCUGUGUCGUGAGGUACAAAUAUUUCCCCUAGUUUUUGCCCUUUUUCCCCACUCUGUGUUGUGCUUUGGUUUUGGCUUCUCUGUGGACACUGCUGUUGUUUACAUUUGCAAUUAUUAAUCUCUGCUUUUUGGCUGCUGGAUUUUGAGACAUGGUUUGACAUGUCAAUCGACUCUGAUGUUAUUCUGUCAAAGUUCCAACAGGAAUGACACGGCACACUCAAAUUAGGGUGAUUUUAAGGCGGGGGUUACGUACAAAGGGACUACUGACAAGGGCCUGGGCAAGUUUUAGGGGCGUCCCAGGGGCAGUGCGAGAAUGGGGGCCCAGCAGCAACCGAGAUGCAUCACCCCUGGGCCCCUGGGGAUGAGGGGACAGAGGAGUUAUGCAGCCUGGAAGGAGAGAGCUGUGUAGGCCAAGCCUCCUAGAGAGGGGCCCUCGUCUGCGGAGGAAACCAGGAACGGAACACCCUGCCCUCACGUCCCUGCUUCCCUCCUGUCUGGUCGUGGCUGUUGGGAGAAGCCUGCUGGCAGCGUCCAUGUGGGCAGCCGUCCAGGGCACAGAAUGAGGGAAUGCCUCCAUGGAGGGAAUGGAUGGGCCACCCCCCAUUUCCUGCCCUGCUGCCUGCACCCCUCAAUCAGUUUUCCCAGGGGACCUGCCGGAGUAGAUCACAUGCACACAGCCCUGGCCUCGGGCCCUGCUUCUGGGAAGCCUGACGUGAGAUGACCACUAACACAGUCCAAGAAAUGACCGAACGCGGGAGAAACCUACCCUCAGGACUUAGAGGCCAUCCACGCAUCUGAGCCUCCCGGGAGCCUCCAGCUGACCCUGCUUCCCGGGGGGAAGGAGGAGGGCUUUCUGCUGCGCCCUCUGAAGAGCGACCAGGAAGGGCAGAGGGGGCCGGGAUGGAGAGGGGCACGCCUGGCGGAGGUUCUGGUCCCUGACCCGUGUGCUGAGCCUCAGACGGUGGAGCCAGACGCGACGGUGACGCUCCGUGACCAUGUGGGACACGUCACAGCUGGGUGUCUGGCGCGUCCUGGCAAUGGCCUGUCUCUGCAGGUCUGAGAAGCACCACAACGUUCUUUACAAGGUUGACACGGGAGCUGGGCCCUCGCACGUCAGCCCCGUCCUCCCUGCAUCUUAAGUCUGAGCUCUGAUGGGACUUCUGUACCAAGAGCGAAUUAACAGGGUAAAUGAUGUUCAACUAAAGAGUUCAACCAGCACACUGUGAUGUAGCCGAGCUUGUGUCCGAGCAGAGGACCAUCCACACAGGGGGUCACAGUGGAACAGCCAGGCCUGCUGAGGGAAGUUCCCCGCUCCCCAUCGUCCCCCCUCUCUUCCCAUCCCCCUCCCUCCCCUCCCCAUUCCCCUCCCUCCCCCUCCCUCCCCACUG